rnacentral:rRNA from 1 species
GUGAGGUAAUGGAUCAACAAGGUUACAAUCAAUAGCUGGCCUGAGAGGAGGACCACCCGCGCUGGGACUGAGACACGGCCCAGACUCCUAUGGGAGGCAGUCUGGGGAAUAUUGGACAAUGGGCGAAUUGGCGAUCCGGCCAUGCCGCGUGAGGGAUGAACGCCUUAGGGUUGUAAAGCUCUUUUACCCCCUUUAGAUAAUGACUGUACCGGGAGAAUAAGCCGCGGCUAGGUUCGUGCCAGCAGCCGGGAAAAUACGUACGGGGCUAGUAUUCUUCGGAAUUUCUGCCUGUAAAACGCACGUCCGCGGAUUUUUAAGUC